CCCGCUGGAGCGUCUCGUUCGCAAUGAGAAGGUCGGGGGUUCGAAUCCCCCUGGGUCCA
rnacentral:tRNA from 1 species